rnacentral:rRNA from 1 species
CGGAGAGGGAGCCUGAGAAACGGCUACCACAUCUAAGGAAGGCAGCAGGCGCGUAAAUUACCCAAUCCUGACUCAGGGAGGUAGUGACAAGAAAUAACGGACCGGGGCCUACGCUUCGGGAUUGCAAUGAGUAGAAUUUAAACCCCUUUGCGAGGAUCAAUUGGAGGGCAAGUCUGGUGCCAGCAGCCGCGGUAAUUCCAGCUCCAAUAGCAUAUAUUAAAGUUGUUGCAGUUAAAAAGCUCGUAGUUGAACUUCUGGGAGGGUGCCAAUGUCGGCUUCGUUGCUUGUGCAGCGGCGCCCUUCCAUCCUUCUGUUAACGUUU